CAUCACAUAGCAAGGCAAUGACCCUGUACUGUAUUUAGAUAGCAGCUGGAAGGAAUCCAGACUAAUAUUCCGUCUUAAAUUCUCCUUCACACACAGUAAAUGUUGAGACUUGGUGGUGAAGGGGUAGAAGUGGGCUCAGGGGGAUUCUCUCUGGGUCAUGUGGUGCUGGAUUUUCAUUUGUGGUCAAUGACACAGCAUUUUACAAAUUCUUUGUCACUAGACACAAAUCUCCCAGCUCGCUGCAGGUUUCUUAGAGAUUGAGCAACUGUAACUGAUCUUCACACUCACCCUGACCCUAUUUCCAAUUUUUAAAUGAUCACACAUGGAUAACUUGUUCUGGAAAAUAGUCAUUUUCCUAGGCAGGCGAGACAAUGUAAUAAAAAAUAAAAGUGGGUAAAGAUGGGAACUAAAAGAGUUGGCUGUAUGAAUUAUGCUAGGAAAAUCUAGUGUGUAUGGAGUUGUGAUGUUCUGGGUUGGAAAGGAUUCACUUAAUUUCCCAAAUGUGGCUGGGAGAUGUGCAAGACAGACAAUGUUUGAAAGAAAAGUGGACUGAAACAAUGUGGCAACUACUGUGAUGUUCGGUUUAGUCUUGCCUUUCGCUUUACUACUAGGUCUAUUUUUUUUUUUUUUUUUAGUUUGGCUCUUGGGAAUUUCAGCAGUUAACUAUUAGUUAACAUAUUUAUCAACAUCUCAGGCACAAAGGGCCCCCUAAAGCCUUGUUUUCUUUUUGUACCGGAAUCGUACUUGUUAGUAAGUUACCUUUCACGUGCACAAAACCAUUAGAUUAGUGUACAAAGACUGAAUCACUAUUGGGAAACUAUGACCAAAGCACACCUUCUAUAGAAAGGAGAAAUUCCUACCCAGUUUACUAAAAGCUAUGUUUACAUGACACCAAAACAGCUGCACACAGCUGGGUAACCACUUCAGCCAGAAGAGGUUGGGUGAGAGGUGUCACGUGGGCCGGCUGCUUUGGUAUCACGUGUACACAAGUGCACAAUGGCUCCUCGGGGUGCUCAUCACACCCGCAGGGAAGCAUGGUAGGCAGAACCCGGCCCCCACACGCCAAAAACACAGUGCAACCACACGGCAGGUACUUGAACAAGCAAGAGGGAGUAAUCGGGGAGGAAGGACAAAAGGGGCCUGACUCUAGGAGAUGGUGGCUUGAGAACAUUUUCCACUUCUUUUUAAGUUUGCUAUACCAGAUUUGGAAAAUGAAAGGACGGUCUUUUGAGAGGCAAGAUUCUGUUAGGAUCGCACCACCACCUUUGUACAUAGCUUCCAAGUCCUACUGCCGGUUAAACGUGAACCUCGAAUACUUUUGGCAUACCAGGACAUAGGAAUGGCUGGAGGAAUUUCAAGCAGUGCUUUCCAAAACCCUUUUUUUUUUUUUUAGCAGUUGGAGUUCUACUUGUGUUAUUUUUGAAUACUGCCACACAGGAACUAAAAACCUGUCAUUUCGUAAAGAGUUUAAACAAACAAUAUUAAAAUACCAUCUUCCGUCACAUUGAAAGGCAGUUGGAUAUGUUUGUUUUUCCUCCAUAUUUACAUAUACAGAGUUCUGAUCUAGAAAACCAAUACAAUAAACUGUUUUAUGUUUUAAAAACAGGCAGUCUUUGGUGACGCAAAGGCAGAGAUUGUUUCUGUUACCUCCUGCCUAUUUCGCUCUGUCUCAUAAAGUGAAUAUUGUUGGCACUGUCAGAAAGUUCCAGAUACUGCUCAACAGACAACACAAAGUACCCAUCGUAACCUGGUACCCUCCCGGUGCUCAGCAGCUGCUGCUUCUCCCCCUCUGUCCACGCCCUGAUGCCCUCCUCCCCUUCCUGCAGCCGUCUCUGUUCCUUAGUCCAGGCCUGGGCCACAGCACGCUGUCUGGCGAUCUCCAACACGUGGUUCUUUUCUUCUUCCACAGUUGUCCCAUACCGGAUGUUGAAGCACAGGGCCCCAUGCUGGAGUUGAAUAUCUGCAAACCGUCUAGUCCUCCCAUUCAACACAGAGGUCAUCUGGGACACGGUGACAUUGACCCCAUUCUCCAGAAUCCGCCUCCCCCCAGUAUUACCAAUAAGCACCAGGUCUUCCUCUAGAGACCCGAGCUUAAUAAAAUAAGACAUCAACAUAUCGGUACAGAUCUAUGGGCAAAGGGGUCUCGUUGAUCACAGCCUGCAUGCUGGUGACACGGAAGUUGUUGUAGCUGUAGUCAAACCGGGCAUUCACAAGACCUUCUUCACUGAAUCUGAAAAUCUGGCGUCCAAUAAGAGGUCCUGUAGGAAUCAAAAGGUGUUAAAAGAAUACAGGAAAUGAAAAUUUCAUGAGGAAAUCCCAAUGUGGUGCCCAUCAGCACUCCUUCACAACAUACCCGUCUGCCUGUAUCUGAUUGUGCAGAUGAAUCCAUCAUGCAUCAGGUGGAUUGUCUUAAUCACUCCAGAAGAUUCUUCGUACGUUAACGUGACCUGAGUGGUAUCAUAGAGAAUCUCCGACAGCCUCCCUUGCUUGGUGUACUUAUGUAGAACUCUGCGCCCUGUCCCCAGAUGCAGGGUCUGCAGGAGUCGGCCAUCUCGACUAUAGUCUUGGAUGAAGGAAGUGCUACUGUCUGGUGGGGUGUAGAUGUUCCGGUAGUAGCCCACGGAAAGCAUGGUUUGUAAGCUGUGGCGCACCAUGCUAGGCAUGGUGACUGACAGGAGACAAUCCGAUUGGUCAUAUUCAAAGAUGUAACGCCGCUGGCUAUGCAGGAGAAGCAUCACGGACUGGAAUGAGACAAAGCAGAAUCAUACAGGAAUUACCUACUUCAUAGGAGCUGAUGUGGCUGUGGAGUUAAUUCUGUGAAGUGAUACACGAGGUAGUAGUAGUCUUCAGAUUCAUGCCUUAACUUUUGUUUCGAUUCUCAUUUUUAUGUAAGGGAAGCAUUACAUUAAGAGUGAAGAAUUCUCCAGUUAUGCAACCCCUUUUCCUGAAACGGAUCUAUAUUUCAGAAAUAUUUGUUGGGAAAUAACCCCUAGUCUGAGAAAUAACAAUCUAAAUACAGGUUGAUCUCAUUUUAAACGGUUGUGAAAGGGGCACUGUGCUAAGGAGGACUCUGACUCACUAACAUUUAACUCUCAUGGAAAAAAAAACAGGCCCAGCGCAGUAGCCUAGAAGCUAAAGUCCUUGCCUUACACAUGCCGGGAUCCCAUAUGGGUACCAGUUCUAAUCCUGGUGGCCCCACUUCCCAUCCAGCUCCCUGCUUGUGGCCUGGGAAAACAGUCAAGGACAGCCCAGAGCCUUGGGACCCUGCACCCACGUGGGAGACCCAGAAGAAGCUCCUGGUUCCCAGCUUUGGAUCAGUGCAGCUCUGGCCGUUGUGGCUGC